UGGGGAAUUUUGGACAAUGGGGGAAACCCUGAUCUAGCCAUCCCGCGUGUGCGAUGAAGGCCUUCGGGUUGUAAAGCACUUUUGGCAGGAAAGAAACGUCAUGGGUUAAUACCCCGUGAAACUGACGGUACCUGCAGAAUAAGCACCGGCUAACUACGUGCCAGCAGCCGCGGUAAUACGUAGGGUGCAAGCGUUAAUCGGAAUUACUGGGCGUAAAGCGUGCGCAGGCGGUUCGGAAAGAAAGAUGUGAAAUCCCAGAGCUCAACUGUGGAACUGCAUUUUUAACUACCGGGCUAGAGUGUGUCAGGGGGAGGUGGAAUUCCGCGUGUAGCAGUGAAAUGCGUAGAUAUGCGGAGGAACACCGAUGGCGAAGGCAGCCUCCUGAGAUAACACUGACGCUCAUGCACGAAAGCGUGGGGAGCAAACAGG
rnacentral:rRNA from 1 species